rnacentral:rRNA from 1 species
CCGGCCGCCAGCGGCGCUCGCAAAGUUCGGAUCCGCAAGGACCGGGCCAGCGGGACGUCCCAGUGGCAGGGUGCACUUUCUCCGCGGUCGAGUGCUACGACCGGUUUCGAGGCGGUCAGAAGCCCGGCGGAAAGGUAGCGCCGCCCUUCGGGGUGUCGUGUUAUAGGCCGCCGCGGUGGACUCGCCGCGAGACCGAGGACGCUUGCCGCGCCGAGCGGUCCCGGGCCGUCUUGGGAGGUUCGACCUCGGCUGCACUGCUCCGCAGAGCACCGUAACCGCCGCCCUAGCACGGGUCCGGAGACUGCCGGCGCCUCGGGUCAGUAGCG